rnacentral:rRNA from 1 species
GGAUCAUUAGAGUAAUCUCAGCGAGGGGCUUUUGAAGAUGCUGGCCCUAUAGGGGCAAAGUGCACCGUCGCCCCUCAAGAAACCACCUUCACAUAUACACCUGUGCACCUUUGGGUGAGCGCCUCCCAUCGAGGAGCCGUCUUGUGGGUCACCCCCGCAGGACUGAGGCGUUCCCCUCCCUUUUACAUCACAUCCUGUCAAAAAUGCAUGUUGCUCGAGAGAAAAAAAAACAAAUACAACUUUCAACAACGGAUCUCUUGGCUUUCGCAUCGAUGAAGAACGCCGCGAAAGUGCGAAACGUAAUGUGAAUUGCAGAAUUCAGUGAAUCAUCGAAUCUUUGAACGCAUCUUGCGCUCCUUGGUAUUCCGAGGAGCAUGCCUGUUUGAGUGUCGUGAUAUCGUAAUCGGCCUUGCUCUCUCUCUUUCGGAGGGAGUAAGGUCUGGACUUUGGACGCUUGCGGGUGGGGCGGCAUGCUUGUUUUGCCACCCCCCUCGCUCGUCUUUAAAUGCAUUAGCUUUGGCCCCCUCGGAGUUGGCCCAACGACGGUGUGAUAAUGCUGAAACGCGCGCGCCGUUUGGGGCCUGACUCGGGUUUGGGGGGCUGCUUACAGCCGUCCUCAAGGACAAAAUGCCCUCUUCUUUGUCUGACCUCAAAUCAGGUAGGACUACCCGCUGAACUUAAGCAUAUCAAUAAGCGGAGGAAAAGAAACUAACAAGGAUUCCCCUAGUAACGGCGAGUGAAGCGGGAAGAGCUCAAAUUGUA